rnacentral:rRNA from 1 species
UAACAAAAACAUGGUCUUUAUGAUUUAUAAUUUAAGAUCUGUUCUGCUCACUGAAUUUAUUUUAAAGAGCUGCAGUAUCUUAACUGUGCGAAGGUAGCAAAAUCAUUUGCUUUUUAAUUGAAAGCCGGAAUGAAAGAAUUAAUGAAGUAUAAGCUGUCUCAGUUUAAUUAAUUGAAUUUAAAUUUUAAGUUAAAAUGCUUAAAUUUCUUUAUUGGACGAUAAGACCCUGUAGAAUUUAAUAUUUUAUAUUUAUAUUAAUAUAUUUUUAUUUGUAAUAUUUUAAAUUAAAUAUUUGGUUGGGGGGACAAUUAAAUUUAUAUAACUUUAAUUUUAUUUAUACAAUUAUUUUUGGUUAUUUUGAUUUUUUAAUGAUUAUUAGAUAAAAUUACCUCAGGGAUAACAGCGUAAUAUUUUUGGUGAGAUCUUAUUAAUAAAAAUGUUUGCGACCUCGAUGUUGAAUUAAGGUUAAUUAUAGGUGUAGGUGCCUAUUUGUUAAGUCUGUUCGACUUUUAAUACCUUACGUGAUCUGAGUUC